ensembl:snRNA U6 U6 spliceosomal RNA
UUGUUCACUUUGGCAGCAUAUAAACUAAAAUUGGAAGGAUACAGAGGAGAUUAGCAUGGCUCCUGCACAAAGAUGACACAUAAAUUCGUGAAAUGUCUCAUAUUUUA